UACGUAGGGGGCGAGCGUUGUCCGGAUUUAUUGGGCGUAAAGAGCUCGUAGGCGGUUUGGUAAGUUGGAUGUGAAAUCUCCAGGCUCAACUUGGAGGGGUCAUUCGAUACUGCCAUGACUAGAGUUCGGUAGGGGAGUGUGGAAUUCCUGGUGGAGCGGUGAAAUGCGCAGAUAUCAGGAAGAACACCCGUGGCUAAGGCGGCUCUCUAGUACGGUACUGACGCUGAGACGCGAAAGCGUGGGGAGCGAACAGG
rnacentral:rRNA from 1 species